GAUGAGCGCUAGCGGCAGGCCUAACACAUGCAAGUCGAGGGAGAAGCCCUUUCGGGGGCAGAAACCGGCGCACGGGUGCGUAACGCGUAUGCAACCUACCUUUCACAGGGGGAUAGCCCGAAGAAAUUUGGAUUAAUACCCCAUAAUAUUAUUGGAUGGCAUCAUUUGAUAAUUAAAACUGCGGUGGUGAAAGAUGGGCAUGCGUCCUAUUAGCUAGUUGGAGUGGUAACGGCACCCCAAGGCUACGAUAGGUAGGGGUCCUGAGAGGGAGAUCCCCCACACUGGUACUGAGACAGGGACCAGACUCCUACGGGAGGCAGCAGUGAGGAAUAUUGGUCAAUGGUCGGAAGACUGAACCAGCCAUGCCGCGUGCAGGAAGAAUGCCUUAUGGGUUGUAAACUGCUUUUAUAUGGGAAGAAUAAGGUGUACGUGUACAUUGAUGACGGUACCAUAUGAAUAAGCAUCGGCUAACUCCGUG
rnacentral:rRNA from 1 species